GAGGGUGUAGCUCAAGUGGUAGAGCGCAUGCUUCGCAGGCACAAGGCCCUGGGUUCGAUCCCCAGUACCUCCU
rnacentral:tRNA from 1 species